GACGAACGCUGGCGGCGUGCCUAAUACAUGCAAGUAGAACGCUGAAGGAGGAGCUUGCUUCUCUGGAUGAGUUGCGAACGGGUGAGUAACGCGUAGGUAACCUGCCUGGUAGCGGGGGAUAACUAUUGGAAACGAUAGCUAAUACCGCAUAAUAGCAGUUGUUGCAUGACAACUGUUUGAAAGGUGCAAUUGCACCACUACCAGAUGGACCUGCGUUGUAUUAGCUAGUUGGUGGGGUAACGGCUCACCAAGGCGACGAUACAUAGCCGACCUGAGAGGGUGAUCGGCCACACUGGGACUGAGACACGGCCCAGGCUCCUACGGGAGGCAGCAGUAGGGAAUCUUCGGCAAUGGACGGAAGUCUGACCGAGCAACGCCGCGUGAGUGAAGAAGGUUUUCGGAUCGUAAAGCUCCGUUGUAAGAGAAGAACGAGUGUGAGAGUGGAAAGUCCACACUGUGACGGUAUCUUACCAGAAAGGGACGGCUAACUACGUG
rnacentral:rRNA from 1 species